rnacentral:rRNA from 1 species
UACGGGGGGGGCAAGCGUUGUUCGGAAUUACUGGGCGUAAAGGGCUCGUAGGCGGCCAACUAAGUCCGACGUGAAAUCCCAAGGCUUAACCUUGGAACUGCGUCGGAUACUGGAUGGCUUGAAUUCGGGAGAGGGAUGCAGAAUUCCAGGUGUAGCGGUGAAAUGCGUAGAUAUCUGGAGGAAUACCGGUGGCGAAGGCGGCAUCCUGGACCGACAUUGACGCUGAGGAGCGAAAGCUAAGGGAGCAAACGGG